rnacentral:rRNA from 1 species
UAAGGAAUAUUGGUCAAUGGGCAGCAAGCCUGAACCAGCCAUGCCGCGUGCAGGAUGAAGGCCCUCAGGGUUGUAAACUGCUUUUCUCAGGGAAGAAACCCUCGUUUUCUAACGAGGCUGACGGUACCUGAGGAAUAAGCACCGGCUAACUCCGUGCCAGCAGCCGCGGUUNUAAUC